UUACAAAGUACACAAUGUGCUAUUGCACACGCUGCCCACACCUAGGGAGGCCUGGACUCGUGCAGCUUUGCAGAACGGCUCUGACCCCCCGCCUGCCAUCGCAGCUGAGGGACCAGAAUGAAAAUACAGUCAAUUUUUGUGAUUUCCA